CAGUCGCCGCGGGAAGACAGAGGUCCCGAGCGUUGUUCGGAUUCAUUGGGCGUAAAGGGUGUGUAGGAGGCCAGGUAAGUCAGGUGUGAAAUCUCAGAGCUUAACUCUGAAACUGCGCUUGAUACUGCUUGGCUAGAGGAUCGGAGGGGGUAACGGAAUUUAUGGUGUAGCAGUGAAAUGCGUAGAUAUCAUAAGGAACACCGGUGGCGAAGGCGGUUACCUGGAAGAUUCCUGACUCUGAAACACGAAAGCCAGGGGAGCAAACGGGAUUAGAUACCCGCGUAGUCCCUGUCUCUUAUAC
rnacentral:rRNA from 1 species